UACGUAGGGUGCAAGCGUUGUCCGGAAUUAUUGGGCGUAAAGAGCUCGUAGGCGGUUUGUUGCGUCGGCUGUGAAAUCCCGAGGCUCAACCUCGGGUCUGCAGUCGAUACGAGCAAACUAGAGUGUUGCAGGGGAGACUGGAAUUCCUGGUGUAGCGGUGAAAUGCGCAGAUAUCAGGAGGAACACCGGUGGCGAAGGCGGCCUUCUGGGCCUGUUCUGACGCUGAGGAGCGAAAGCGUGGGGAGCGAACAGG
rnacentral:rRNA from 1 species